GACCGCUCCGGUGGCCUAGUGGUUAGAGCAUCCGCCUCGAAUGCCGGAAGUCGUUGUUUCGAACACCGGCCGAGUCA